UCGCAGUUACAACAUAUCAAUAUUAAUCAAUUUCAAUUACAUACUUAUGGUAAUUUCAUUUCUUCAGUCGAUAAACAGUGAACACAUCGAAUUGAAAUAAUCUCAAAUAGUAUUUAAUGUCACGGUUUCGUUUAAAAUAAUUAAUUUUAAAAAAAAAAUAUCGGAUAAACAUUGUUUUUCAACAAUUAAUUUAUACACAACUUUAAUUAUCAAUUUUUAAUUUUAAAUAAUUUAAAUAGUUAAAAUUAAGACUUGUAUGUAAAUAUUUUUAAAAAAAAUAUAAUAUGAAGACUUUCACCGUGUGUUGGCUUACGCUAGUAUAUUAUACACUAGCAAUAAAUGGAGAUGUUUAUUUUCCAUCAAGGAAGAUUGACAACGAAUGGUGGCCAAACACAAUAAUAUAUCAAGCAUAUCCAAGAUCGUUUAAAGACAGUAAUAACGAUGGUGUAGGUGAUUUAAAAGGUAAAAACUGUUGUUCUAUUGCUAUACCAAAAAACGAAAAACAAUUAUGCCAAUUAUAGAAAAAUUUCAGGAAUAACCCAGAAACUCGACCAUUUCGUUGACCUUGGUAUAGAAACUUUGUGGGUAGGCCCUAUAUUCAAAUCACCAAUGAUUGACAUGGGUUAUGAUGUAGACAAUUUUACAAUGAUAGAUCCUAUUUUUGGUACUAUGGAAGAUUUUGAUGAAUUAGUGUCAGAAAUGAACAAACGGAGUAAAUUAAAAUUAAAAUAACACAAAUAUUGAUUAAUUAUAACUAUUAUUUUAAGUAUUUCUCCUUUAGAUCUGAAAUUAAUAAUAGACAUUAUUCCAAAUCAUUCAAGUGACAAAUGUGAAUGGUUUCAAAAAUCAAUCAAACGAGAUGAAAAAUACGA